CACACCUGCAAACCAGCACCCUACCUGAGAAUCACACCUACAAACCAGCACCCUACCUGAGAAUCACACCUGCAAACCAGCACCCUGCCUGAGAAUCACAC